rnacentral:lncRNA from 10 species
UGUCAUCAGCCCAGAACUUUCUUAAUCUUUUCUGAGAGAAACUACGUCAGUUCCUUGGGCUUCUUUCAAGAAAGUAAAAUUAUUUCCACAGAGAAGAAACAAUCAUUUUCUAAGCAAUAAGGUUAUUGAACUACUUUGGCUGAGUAAAUAACUCUGUUUGCUUCAGGGCACAUUCAGAGAAAUUUCCAAUUCUUGUCAUGGAUUAUGACAUGUUUUCCCCUUGAUAAGACAACAGAAGUGUGUAUUGGACAUUUAAGCAGAUUUCAGUGUGGAAGUUCUCAACACGCUGAUUUUCCCAGGACUGCUUCUGGAUGGAUCAAGAAUCCUGCUGGAGCUUGAGAGUCCUGAAGAAGCUGCCUCUUCCUUGACCCCACUGCUACUCUGUACAUGGCUGGAUCUCUUGGAAAUUGCCAACCCUGGAGAGAAGUGUCUUUGACUUCUCUCCUGGCCUGGACAAACCACAGAGGAAACUUAAGGCAAAGAAGCCAACAUAACACAGAGACUGAGACUCUGAGGAAUGUGAUAUGGAGAUGGAAAAAUGGGGCUGGAUUUCAGUGGCGCGAUCUCAGCUUACUGUGACCUCCGCCUCCUGGGUUCAAUGGAUUCUCCUGCCUCAGCCUCCGGAGUAGCUGGGACUAUAGGCAUGCAACCACACUCAGCUAAUUUUUGUAUUUUUAGUAGAGACAGAUUUGCACCAUGUUGGCCAGGAUGGCCUCAAUCUCUUGACCUCGUGAUCCGCCCACCUUGGCCGCCCAAAGUGCUGGGGUUACAGGCGUAAGCCACCUUGC